rnacentral:rRNA from 1 species
UACGUAGGGUGCGAGCGUUAAUCGGAAUUACUGGGCGUAAAGCGUGCGCAGGCGGUUUUGUAAGCCAGAUGUGAAAGCCCCGGGCUUAACCUGGGAAUGGCAUUUGGGACUGCAAGGCUUGAGUGCGGCAGAGGAGACUGGAAUUCCCGGUGUAGCAGUGAAAUGCGUAGAUAUCGGGAGGAAUACCGAUGGCGAAGGCAGGUCUCUGGGCAGUAACUGACGCUGAGGAGCGAAAGCGUGGGGAGCGAACGAGGAAUUGAAAAUCCCCAGUCCGUCGAGAACCA